rnacentral:lncRNA from 1 species
UUUACCCUAUUCUUAGUAUUAAUUUAUUGGUUAUUUUGUGUGCAUUUUGAUAAUUUGUUAUGUAUUUUCAAUAUCGGACAUUCGAUUUCCUCUUGAGCAUAAAGUGAUCAAACGGAUGAAUUUUGGAGUGAUUCUAAUUGGAGGAGGUUCGUGAGUCUUUCAAGAUGAUUAUGUCAAAAUUCCAGAAUUUUCUACCAAGUCGUUUGACCGUGGUGAUGAAAUAAAGUCUCAAUGCGCAGCUUUCCGAGAUUGACGUUUCUGGACGUUUUAGGUAUUUUGGAGGUCAAGAUGGCAUAUUUUGAGGAAGAUUUAUUCUGAGGAUUUGUAGGGGACAUCUUCAAAUUUCAAAAGAAACCUUUUGGGACCAAAUUGGAGUUGAGUUUGUCAGUCAAAAUGAU